rnacentral:rRNA from 1 species
GACGAACGCUGGCGGCGUGCCUAAUACAUGCAAGUUGAGCGCUGAAGGUUGGUACUUGUACCGACUGGAUGAGCAGCGAACGGGUGAGUAACGCGUGAGGAAUCUGCCUUUGAGCGGGGGACAACAUUUGGAAACGAAUGCUAAUACCGCAUAAAAACUUUAAACACAAGUUUUAAGUUUGAAAGAUGCAAUUGCAUCACUCAAAGAUGAUCCCGCGUUGUAUUAGCUAGUUGGUGAGGUAAAGGCUCACCAAGGCGAUGAUACAUAGCCGACCUGAGAGGGUGAACGGCCACAUUGGGACGGAGACACGGCCCAAACUCCUACGGGAGGCAGCAGUAGGGAAUCUUCGGCAAUGGACGAAAGUCUGACCGAGCAACGCCGCGUGAGUGAAGAAGGUUUUCGGAUCGUAAAACUCUGUUGGUAGAGAAGAACGUUGGUGAGAGUGGAAAGCUCAUCAAGUGACGGUAACUACCCAGAAAGGGACGGCUAACUACGUGCCAGCCGCCGCCGUAA